GACGGAGGGUGCUAGCGUUGUUCGGAAUUACUGGGCGUAAAGCGUGCGCAGGCGGCGCGUUAAGACAGGUGUGAAAGCCCCGAGCUUAACUUGGGAAUUGCGCUUGUGACUGGCGUGCUGGAGUGUGGCAGAGGGAGGUGGAAUUCCACGUGUAGCAGUGAAAUGCGUAGAGAUGUGGAGGAACACCGAUGGCGAAGGCAGCCUCCUGGGCCAGCACUGACGCUCAUGCACGAAAGCGUGGGGAGCAAACAGG
rnacentral:rRNA from 1 species